UUUUAAACUCAAAACCCCCUUGGCUGGGCUGGGGCAAGUGAUGGUUUAGUAUUAAAAUCUCACAUAAAAUAAACAAAAUCAAAGCAAAAAAUCAGUCAGUAAAGACCGUUCCCC